rnacentral:tRNA from 1 species
UGGCUUAGUGGUAGAGCGCUUGCCUUGCAUGCAUGAGGCCGUAGGUUCAAUUCCUC